rnacentral:rRNA from 1 species
UUGCAAACUCCGAAUACCAAUGAGUACUACUCGGGAGACAGACGGCGGGUGCUAACGUCCGUCGUCAAAAGGGAAACAACCCAGACCGUCAGCUAAGGUCCCAAAGUGUAUGUUAAGUGGGAAACGAUGUGGGAAGGCUUAGACAGCUAGGAUGUUGGCUUAGAAGCAGCCAUCAUUUAAAGAAAGCGUAAUAGCUCACUAGUCGAGUCGGCCUGCGCGGAAGAUGUAACGGGGCUAAACAUACCACCGAAGCUACGGGUGCAAUUCAUUAGAGUUGCGCGGUAGAGGAGCGUUCUGUAAGCCGUUGAAGGUGAAGGGGUAACCCACACUGGAGGUAUCAGAAGUGCGAAUGCUGACAUGAGUAACGAUAAAGGGGGUGAAAAACCCCCUCGCCGAAAGAC